CUUAAGGAAUUGGCGGGGACGCACAAGCGGUGGAUGAUGUGGCUUAAUUCGAUGCAACGCGAAAAACCUUACCUACCCUUGGCAUGCCACUAACGAAGCAGAGAUGCAUUAGGUGCUCGAAAGAGAAAGUGGACACAGGUGCUGCAUGGCUGUCGUCAGCUCGUGUCGUGAGAUGUUGGGUUAAGUCCCGCAACGGGCGCAACCCUUGUCUCUAGUUGCUACGAAAGGGCACUCUAGAGAGACUGCCGGUGACAAACCGGAGGAAGGUGGGGAUGACGUCAAGUCCUCAUGGCCCUUAUGGGUAGGGCUUCACGCGUCAUACAAUGGUGCAUACAGAGGGUUGCCAAGCCGCGAGGUGGAGCUAAUCCCAGAAAAUGCAUCGUAGUCCGGAUCGUAGUCUGCAACUCGACUACGUGAAGCUGGAAUCGCUAGUAAUCGCGGAUCAGCAUGCCGCGGUGAAUACGUUCCCGCCUCUUGCACACACCGCCCG
rnacentral:rRNA from 1 species